rnacentral:rRNA from 1 species
AGAGUUUGAUCAUGGCUCAGAAUCAACGCUGGCGGCGUGCCUCAGACAUGCAAGUCGAACGCGAAAGUCCCCUUCGGGGGAUGAGUAGAGUGGCGCACGGGUGAGUAACACGUAGGUAAUCUACCUUCGGGUGGGGAAUAACCCAGGGAAACUUGGGCUAACACCGCAUAAUGCAGCGGCACCACAUGGUGACAGUUGUUAAAGCGGGGGAUUUUCGGACCUCGCGCCUGAAGAGGAGCCUGCGGCAGAUUAGCUAGUUGGUAAGGUAACGGCUUACCAAGGCGACGAUCUGUAGCCGGCCUGAGAGGGCGGUCGGCCACACUGACACUGACAUACGGGUCAGACUCCUACGGGAGGCAGCAGUCGGGAAUUUUGGGCAAUGGGCGAAAGCCUGACCCAGCAACGCCGCGUGAAGGAUGAAAUCCCUCGGGAUGUAAACUUCGCAAGAAUGGGGAGAAUUAGUAGGGGACAAUACCCCCUAUGAUGACGGUACCAUUUGUAAG